GGUUAAGCGACUAAGCGUACACGGUGGAUGCCCUGGCAGUCAGAGGCGAUGAAGGACGUGCUAAUCUGCGAUAAGCGUCGGUAAGGUGAUAUGAACCGUUAUAACCGGCGAUUUCCGAAUGGGGAAACCCAGUGUGUUUCGACACACUAUCAUUAACUGAAUCCAUAGGUUAAUGAGGCGAACCGGGGGAACUGAAACAUCUAAGUACCCCGAGGAAAAGAAAUCAACCGAGAUUCUCCCAGUAGCGGCGAGCGAACGGGGAGCAGCCCAGAGCCUGAAUCAGUGUGUGUGUUAGUGGAAGCGUCUGGAAAGGCGCGCGAUACAGGGUGACAGCCCCGUACACAAAAAUGCACAUGCUGUGAGCUCGAUGAGUAGGGCGGGACACGUGGUAUCCUGUCUGAAUAUGGGGGGACCAUCCUCCAAGGCUAAAUACUCCUGACUGACCGAUAGUGAACCAGUACCGUGAGGGAAAGGCGAAAAGAACCCCGGCGAGGGGAGUGAAAAAGAACCUGAAACCGUGUACGUACAAGCAGUGGGAGCACGCUUAGGCGUGUGACUGCGUACCUUUUGUAUAAUGGGUCAGCGACUUAUAUUCUGUAGCAAGGUUAACCGAAUAGGGGAGCCGAAGGGAAACCGAGUCUUAACUGGGCGUUAAGUUGCAGGGUAUAGACCCGAAACCCGGUGAUCUAGCCAUGGGCAGGUUGAAGGUUGGGUAACACUAACUGGAGGACCGAACCGACUAAUGUUGAAAAAUUAGCGGAUGACUUGUGGCUGGGGGUGAAAGGCCAAUCAAACCGGGAGAUAGCUGGUUCUCCCCGAAAGCUAUUUAGGUAGCGCCUCGUGAAUUCAUCUCCGGGGGUAGAGCACUGUUUCGGCAAGGGGGUCAUCCCGACUUACCAACCCGAUGCAAACUGCGAAUACCGGAGAAUGUUAUCACGGGAGACACACGGCGGGUGCUAACGUCCGUCGUGAAGAGGGAAACAACCCAGACCGCCAGCUAAGGUCCCAAAGUCAUGGUUAAGUGGGAAACGAUGUGGGAAGGCCCAGACAGCCAGGAUGUUGGCUUAGAAGCAGCCAUCAUUUAAAGAAAGCGUAAUAGCUCACUGGUCGAGUCGGCCUGCGCGGAAGAUGUAACGGGGCUAAACCAUGCACCGAAGCUGCGGCAGCGACGCUUAUGCGUUGUUGGGUAGGGGAGCGUUCUGUAAGCCUGUGAAGGUGUGCUGUGAGGCAUGCUGGAGGUAUCAGAAGUGCGAAUGCUGACAUAAGUAACGAUAAAGCGGGUGAAAAGCCCGCUCGCCGGAAGACCAAGGGUUCCUGUCCAACGUUAAUCGGGGCAGGGUGAGUCGACCCCUAAGGCGAGGCCGAAAGGCGUAGUCGAUGGGAAACAGGUUAAUAUUCCUGUACUUGGUGUUACUGCGAAGGGGGGACGGAGAAGGCUAUGUUGGCCGGGCGACGGUUGUCCCGGUUUAAGCGUGUAGGCUGGUUUUCCAGGCAAAUCCGGAAAAUCAAGGCUGAGGCGUGAUGACGAGGCACUACGGUGCUGAAGCAACAAAUGCCCUGCUUCCAGGAAAAGCCUCUAAGCAUCAGGUAACAUCAAAUCGUACCCCAAACCGACACAGGUGGUCAGGUAGAGAAUACCAAGGCGCUUGAGAGAACUCGGGUGAAGGAACUAGGCAAAAUGGUGCCGUAACUUCGGGAGAAGGCACGCUGAUAUGUAGGUGAAGUCCCUCGCGGAUGGAGCUGAAAUCAGUCGAAGAUACCAGCUGGCUGCAACUGUUUAUUAAAAACACAGCACUGUGCAAACACGAAAGUGGACGUAUACGGUGUGACGCCUGCCCGGUGCCGGAAGGUUAAUUGAUGGGGUUAGCCGCAAGGCGAAGCUCUUGAUCGAAGCCCCGGUAAACGGCGGCCGUAACUAUAACGGUCCUAAGGUAGCGAAAUUCCUUGUCGGGUAAGUUCCGACCUGCACGAAUGGCGUAAUGAUGGCCAGGCUGUCUCCACCCGAGACUCAGUGAAAUUGAACUCGCUGUGAAGAUGCAGUGUACCCGCGGCAAGACGGAAAGACCCCGUGAACCUUUACUAUAGCUUGACACUGAACAUUGAGCCUUGAUGUGUAGGAUAGGUGGGAGGCUUAGAAGUGUGGACGCCAGUCUGCAUGGAGCCGACCUUGAAAUACCACCCUUUAAUGUUUGAUGUUCUAACGUUGACCCGUAAUCCGGGUUGCGGACAGUGUCUGGUGGGUAGUUUGACUGGGGCGGUCUCCUCCUAAAGAGUAACGGAGGAGCACGAAGGUUGGCUAAUCCUGGUCGGACAUCAGGAGGUUAGUGCAAUGGCAUAAGCCAGCUUGACUGCGAGCGUGACGGCGCGAGCAGGUGCGAAAGCAGGUCAUAGUGAUCCGGUGGUUCUGAAUGGAAGGGCCAUCGCUCAACGGAUAAAAGGUACUCCGGGGAUAACAGGCUGAUACCGCCCAAGAGUUCAUAUCGACGGCGGUGUUUGGCACCUCGAUGUCGGCUCAUCACAUCCUGGGGCUGAAGUAGGUCCCAAGGGUAUGGCUGUUCGCCAUUUAAAGUGGUACGCGAGCUGGGUUUAGAACGUCGUGAGACAGUUCGGUCCCUAUCUGCCGUGGGCGCUGGAGAACUGAGGGGGGCUGCUCCUAGUACGAGAGGACCGGAGUGGACGCAUCACUGGUGUUCGGGUUGUCAUGCCAAUGGCACUGCCCGGUAGCUAAAUGCGGAAGAGAUAAGUGCUGAAAGCAUCUAAGCACGAAACUUGCCCCGAGAUGAGUUCUCCCUGACUCCUUGAGAGUCCUGAAGGAACGUUGAAGACGACGACGUUGAUAGGCCGGGUGUGUAAGCGCAGCGAUGCGUUGAGCUAACCGGUACUAAUGAACCGUGAGGCUUAACCUU
rnacentral:rRNA from 1 species